rnacentral:rRNA from 1 species
GGCGGCAGCACAGGAGAGCUUGCUCUCUGGGUGGCGAGUGGCGGACGGGUGAGGAAUACAUCGGAAUCUACUCUGUCGUGGGGGAUAACGUAGGGAAACUUACGCUAAUACCGCAUACGACCUACGGGUGAAAGCAGGGGAUCUUCGGACCUUGCGCGAUUGAAUGAGCCGAUGUCGGAUUAGCUAGUUGGCGGGGUAAAGGCCCACCAAGGCGACGAUCCGUAGCUGGUCU